rnacentral:rRNA from 1 species
CCUACGGGAGGCAGCAGUGAGGAAUAUUGGUCAAUGGACGAGAGUCUGAACCAGCCAAGUAGCGUGAAGGAUGAAUGCCCUCUGGGUUGUAAACUUCUUUUAUAUGGGAAUAAAAUGUUCCACGUGUGGGAUUUUGUAUGUACCAUAUGAAUAAGGAUCGGCUAACUCCGCGCCAGCAGCCGCGGUAAUACGGAGGAUCCGAGCGUUAUCCGGAUUUAUUGGGUUUAAAGGGAGCGUAUGUGGAUUGUUAAGUCAGUUGUGAAAGUUUGCGGCUCAACCGUAAAAUUGCAGUUGAAACUGGCAGUCGGGAGUACAGUAGAGGUGGGUGGAAUUCGUGGUGUAGCGGUGAAAUGCUUAGAUAUCACGAAGAACACCGAUGGCGAAGGCAGUUCACUGGACUGUAACUGACACUGAGGCUCGAAAGUGUGGGUAUCAAACAGGAUUAGAUACCCCAGUAGUC